GCGCUGUGAAAGUCCCAGCAGAGAUUGAGAAGACUGCUAGGACUCUGUUAUGUCCCAAGAGCCCACUGUGCUCCAUCGCAGAGGUCAAAACGUUUGCAGAGUCGUCCAAAGCGAGCAUCAGAGGAACCAUUACAGAGAUAAAAGCUCUUGAAAGGAUUACUGUUAUGAAACAGAGGAAAACCAAGAAGCAAGAUUUCCAUCUGAAAGACGACACAGAUUCCAUCAAAGUUUCUGUGUGGGGCGAGAACACUCAGCAAUGCAAGGGAUUACUAGUUGGAGACAUCGUUAAAGUGACCAAUGUAAAGACGAACUACUUUCGUGGAGUCACAUCCGUUAACUCUACUGCAUUCACCAGAAUUCACAAGGUCUGCAGUGCCGGCUUCCAGACGGGGAGAAUUGAAAUUAAAGCAAUAUCCAAAGCCAAUAAGACAUGCACUUAUGUGGAGGCAGAAUUCAACCAGCAGCUGCAGACAUUUGUUGUAGCUUCUCAACUCCUGGCGAAGGCGUUUGGUGUUAAACUGGAUGAAAAUUUUAAACAAAAGCUUGUGGAUAAAUUGCCCCUCUCAACAGUA